rnacentral:rRNA from 1 species
UGCCAGCAGCCGCGGUAAUACGUAGGCUCCCAGCGUUGUUCGGAAUUACUGGGCGUAAAGCGAGUGUAGGCGGUCCGUCAAGUUGGUUGUGAAAUCUCCUGGCUCAACUGGGAGGGUGCAAUCAAAACUGACGGACUAGAGUCUGGGAGAGGAGAGUGGAAUUCCUGGUGUAGCGGUGAAAUGCGUAGAUAUCAGGAGGAACACCGGUGGUGAAGACGGCUCUCUGGACCGGUACUGACGCUGAGACUCGAAAGCUUGGGGAGCAAACAGGAUUAGAUA